rnacentral:rRNA from 1 species
GUGCCAGCCGCCGCGGUAACACCAGCGCCACGAGUGGGGAUCGUGAUUAUUGGGCCUAAAGCGUCCGUAGCCGGUCAGAUAAAUCUUUUGUGAAAUUGUUUCGCUUAACUUAACAACGUGCAGAUGACACUGUUUGACUUGGAACCGGGAGGGGUUAGGAGUAUGUCUGGGGGAGCGGUAAAAUGUUAUAAUCCCAGUUAGACUACCUGUGGCGAAGGCGCCUAACCAGAACGGGUUCGACGGUGAGGGACGAAAGCCAGGGGAUCAAUCCGGAUUAGAUACCCGAGUAGUCCUGGCCGUAAACGCUGUGAGCAAGGUGUUACAUAUUCUUCGUGAAUGUGUAGUGUCGAAACGAAGGUGUUAAGCUCACCGCCUGGGAAGUAUGGUCGCAAGGCUGAAACUUAAAGGAAUUGGCGGGGGAGCACCACAAGGGGUGCGGCGUGCGGUUUAAUCUAAUUCAACGCAGAGCAUCUCACCAGAAGCGACGGCAGGAUGAAAGUCAGUCUGAAGGGCUUACUAGACAAGCCGAGAGGUAGUGCAUGGCCGCCGUCAGCUCGUGCCGUAAGGUGUCCUGUUAAGUCAGGCAACGAGCAAGACCCGUACCUACAAUUGCUAAUGAGCAUUUUAAUGUGAUCAAACACAUUGUAGGGACUGCCUGUGAAAACAGGAGGAAGGUGCAGGCAACGGUAGGUCUGUAUGCUCCGAAUCUUCUGGGCUACACGCGCGCAACAAUGGUAGGAACAAUGGGCUACAACUCCGAAAGGAGAAGUUAAUCCUCUAAAUCCUAUCUUAGUUUAGAUUGAGGGUUGUAACUCACCCUCAUGACACUGGAAUCCCUAGUAAUCGUUCCUCAUCAUAGAACGGUGAAUAUGUCCCUGCUCCUUGCACACACUGCCCGUC